rnacentral:misc_RNA from 1 species
AAAGAACUCAAUUCAAUUGUCAAAAUAUAUGAAAGAAUCAUAUGAUUCCAAUUUAGUAGCGGCCAUUGAUCACGAUGGCAAUCCAAAGGAAACUCAAAUUUUCAGCAUAAAGAGUCAGAGUCAAGAGAAUUAAAUUUCAGUAAUUAUAGUUUCAUUAGCAGUAGCACCCAAUGUAUUUCCUGUGAGUUUAACUGCUGAAGGCUUGAAGUAAAGAGAAAGUUUUAGAGGAGUUGCCAUGUAGGCAGAGGAAUUGCAUGAUAUUUCCCCACUUGGACCAAUUAAGAACUAUUAUAACUGUUUUCCUAUAAAUUUAUACACUUUUUUAAGGGGAAAAAAUGAUUAACAUCUACAUUCUUUAAGAGUUCAAUAUGAUACUGUUUCUAUGCUUUCUAGAUUUUUACAUACCUACACGCCAUGUGUUAGGGAAAAAGGGACUUAUGCUUCAAUCAGCUAAUAGAUUAUCAAACCAAAAAAAAAUUAUAAUUCAUGCAAGUUAGAUUGAAGUAAAAUUAGUUAAUAGAUUCCGUAUCUCUGUUUCAUUAAUAUACUUUAAUAAGAUAACUAGUUCAUGAAAAGCAAAGCAAUAAAACAGAUAGUUGAGUGCAUGAGAAAUAGGGGCAACUAUGAUGUCUCAUCAGUAGGACAUUGAAUCAGUGUUAUCUCUAAGAAGAUCCCAAAGCUAUUUAAGCCGCUGAACAUUUCAUAUACAAGUUUGCUGCAUGCAAGAAAAAAAUUGUUACCUUAUCCAAUAUCCAUUAACAUGG